AUUGAACGCUGGCGGCAGGCUUAACACAUGCAAGUCGAGCGAGCGGCGGACGGGUGAGUAAUGUCUGGGAAACUGCCUGAUGGAGGGGGAUAACUACUGGAAACGGUAGCUAAUACCGCAUACCAUCAGAGGUGCCCAGAUGGGAUUAGCUAGUUGGUGGGGUAAUGGCCAAACAAGGCGACGAUCCCUAGCUGGUCUGAGAGGAUGACCAGCCACACUGGAACUGAGACACGGUCCAGACUCCUACGGGAGGCAGCAGUGGGGAAGAUUGCACAAUGGGCGCAAGCCUGAUGCAGCCAUGCCGCGUGUGUGAAGAAGGCCUUCGGGUUGUAAAGCACUUUCAGCGAGGAGGCGUUACUCGCAGAAGAAGCACCGGCUAACUACGUGCCAGCAGCCGCGGUAAUAC
rnacentral:rRNA from 1 species